UACGUAGGGGGCAAGCGUUGUCCGGAAUUAUUGGGCGUAAAGCGCGCGCAGGUGGUUCUUUAAGUCUGAUGUGAAAGCCCACGGCUCAACCGUGGAGGGUCAUUGGAAACUGGGGAACUUGAGUGCAGAAGAGGAUAGUGGAAUUCCAAGUGUAGCGGUGAAAUGCGUAGAGAUUUGGAGGAACACCAGUGGCGAAGGCGACUAUCUGGUCUGUAACUGACACUGAGGCGCGAAAGCGUGGGGAGCAAACAGG
rnacentral:rRNA from 1 species